rnacentral:rRNA from 1 species
AUUGAACGCUGGCGGCAGGCCUAACCCCUGCAAGUCGAGCGAGCGGCGGACGGGUGAGUAAUGUCUGGGAAACUGCCUGAUGGAGGGGGAUAACUACUGGAAACGGUAGCUAAUACCGCAUACCAUCAGAUGUGCCCAGCUGGGAUUAGCGAGGAGGUGGGGUAACGUCUCACCUGGGCGACGAUCCCUAGCUGGUCUGAGCGGAUGACCAGCCACACGGGAACUGAGACACGGUCCAGACGCCUACGGGAGGAGGCAGUGGGGAAGAUUGCACAAUGGGCGCAAGCCUGAUGCAGCCAUGCCGCGUGGGUGAAGAAGGCCUUCGGGUUGUAAAGCACUUUCAGCGGGGAGGCGUUACCCGCAGAAGAAGCACCGGCUAACUCCGUGAAAGCAGCCGCGGUAAUUC